AAGAUGGCGACCGGCGCACGGGUGAGUAACACGUAUCCAACCUGCCGAUAACUCUGGAAUAGCCUUUCGAAAGAAAGAUUAAUACCGGAUAGCAUACGAAUAUCGCAUGAUAUUUUUAUUUAAAGAAUUUCGGUUAUCGAUGGGGAUGCGUUCCAUUAGUUUGUUGGCGGGGUAACGGCCCACCAAGACUACGAUGGAUAGGGGUUCUGAGAGGAAGGUCCCCCACAUUGGGACUGAGACACGGCCCAGACUCCUACGGGAGGCAGCAUG
rnacentral:rRNA from 1 species